GCUUUUAAAGGAUAAUAGUUCAUCCGCUGGUCUUAGGAACCAGAAACUUUUGGUGCAACUCCAAAUAAAAGCU
rnacentral:tRNA from 2 species